rnacentral:rRNA from 1 species
GAUGAACGCUGGCGGCGUGCCUAAUACAUGCCAGUCGAGCGAACAGACGAGGAGCUUGCUCCUCUGACGUUAGCGGCGGACGGGUGAGUAACACGUGGAUAACCUACCUAUAAGACUGGGAUAACUUCGGGAAACCGGAGCUAAUACCGGAUAAUAUAUUGAACCGCAUGGUUCAAUAGUGAAAGACGGUUUUGCUGUCACUUAUAGAUGGAUCCGCGCCGCAUUAGCUAGUUGGUAAGGUAACGGCUUACCAAGGCAACGAUGCGUAGCCGACCUGAGAGGGGGGAUGGGCCAAACGGAACUGGGAAAAGGGCCAAAACCCCUAGGGAAGGCAGCGGAAGGAAACCUUCGGCAAGGGGCGAAGGCUUGAGGAAGAAACGCGGGGGAAGUGAGAAAGGUCUUCGGAUCGAAAAACCCGGUUAUUAGGGAAGAAAAAAUGUGAAAGAAACAAGGAAGGUCUGAACGGAACUAAACAAGAAAGCAACGGCUAACUACGG